UACGUAGGGCGCAAGCGUUAUCCGGAAUUAUUGGGCGUAAAGAGCUCGUAGGCGGCUUGUCACGUCUGCUGUGAAAUCCCGGGGCUCAACCCCGGGCGUGCAGUGGAUACGGGCUGGCUAGAGGCAGGCAGGGGAGAACGGAAUUCCCGGUGUAGCGGUGAAAUGCGCGGAUAUCGGGAGGAACACCGGUGGCGAAGGCGGUUCUCUGGGCAUGUCCUGACGCUGAGGAGCGAAAGUGUGGGGAGCGAACAGG
rnacentral:rRNA from 1 species